rnacentral:tRNA from 1 species
GCGGGAGUAGCGCAGCGGUAGCGCAGCGGCUUCCCAAGCCGUCGGUCGCGGGUUCAAAUCCCGUCUCCCGCUCCA